AGCGGCGGACGGGUGAGUAACGCGUGGGUAACCUGCCCUAUACACAUGGAUAACAUACUGAAAAGUUUACUAAUACAUGAUAAUAUAUAUUUGCGGCAUCGCAGAUAUAUCAAAGUGUUAGCGGUAUAGGAUGGACCCGCGUCUGAUUAGCUAGUUGGUGAGAUAACUGCCCACCAAGGCGACGAUCAGUAGCCGACCUGAGAGGGUGAUCGGCCACAUUGGAACUGAGACACGGUCCAAACUCCUACGGGAGGCAGCAGUGGGGAAUAUUGCACAAUGGGCGAAAGCCUGAUGCAGCAACGCCGCGUGAACGAUGAAGGUCUUCGGAUCGUAAAGUUCUGUUGCAGGGGAAGAUAAUGACGGUACCCUGUGAGGAAGCCCCGGCUAACUACGUGCCAGCAGCCGCGGUAAUACGUAGGGGGCUAGCGUUAUCCGGAUUUACUGGGCGUAAAGGGUGCGUAGGUGGUCCUUCAAGUCGGUGGUUAAAGGCUACGGCUCAACCGUAGUAAGCCGCCGAAACUGGAGGACUUGAGUGCAGGAGAG
rnacentral:rRNA from 1 species